rnacentral:rRNA from 1 species
GACGAACGCUGGCGGCGUGCCUAAUACAUGCAAGUCGAGCGCAGGAAACUGACGGAACUCUUCGGAGGGAAGGCAGUGGAAUGAGCGGCGGACGGGUGAGUAACACGUAAGGAACCUGCCUCAAGGAUUGGGAUAACUCCGAGAAAUCGGAGCUAAUACCGGAUAGUUCAACGGACCGCAUGGUCCGCUGAUGAAAGGCGCUCCGGCGUCACCUUGAGAUGGCCUUGCGGUGCAUUAGCUAGUUGGUGGGGUAACGGCCCACCAAGGCGACGAUGCAGAGCUGACCUGAGAGGGUGAUCGGCCACACUGGGACUGAGACACGGCCCAGACUCCUACGGGAGGCAGCAGUAGGGAAUCUUCCACAAUGGACGAAAGUCUGAUGGAGCAACGCCGCGUGAGUGAUGAAGGUUUUCGGAUCGUAAAACUCUGUUGUAAGGGAAGAACACGUACGAGAGGAAAUGCUCGUACCUUGACGGUACCUUACGAGAAAGCCACGGCUAACUACGUGCCAGCCGCCGCGGUAA